rnacentral:misc_RNA from 1 species
UUUACUUAUUUAAAAGUUGUACUCAGAGAAACAAUAUUCAAAAGAGUUUUGAAGUCCGUCGGCAGGCAACCGAGGCGGCUACAGGGUAGCUACCGGGUAGCCCACCGAGGCAACAGUGGUAAGUUCACAUGGGUUUGGGAGUUUUUACACUCAUUAAUGAUCCCUCCGCUGGUUCACCAACGGAGA